UGAGCUUCUAGCACCACAGACACUCCUCUCUGCAUACUCACAUAGAGGAAAGAGAUUUUCCCCUUAUUCCUCUACAAAGUAGCUCAGUUGGUUAGCAUGGUGCUAAUAACACCAAGGUUGUGGGUUUGACCCCAGUAGAGGCCAUUCACUUAAGAGCUGGACUUGAUGAUCCUUAUGGGUCUCUUCCAAGUCAGAAUAUUCUGGAAAUCUGUGAAGUUGGCACCCUUUGCCUCUUGUCCUUCAAUGGGCAUCAGUGAGAGGAGUCAGGCUCCAACUUCUGUAUGUCCCCUCAUCAGCACACAUUUCAUCUGCACCUUCUUAGAAAAACUGUGAGAGCUGCUGUGCUUGUGAUGAGAGAGUGGCCUCCAAAGUUCCCCAAAGACUAAUAUUUCUUCGUUUUGACUGUGAAGUUUUCAUCUACACUUAGCAAUAAAUCCCAGGCUUGUGAGUUUCCUUUUACCUUUAGCGGGAUUUUGAAUGCAACAAAGGAACAAAGGAAGUCUGUAGUCUCAGGGCUGAAUGGAUCCAGUUACAAACACAGCAAAAUACAAGAAAACAGCUUCACUGUUCCACAGGCCAGGUUUGAAAAGGAGGAGCUUUCUAGUAAAAAAAAAAAAUCAUGUUAUCG